GCGGCCAGCGCCAGCACGGGCUGGGGAAGGGCGUGGGGCCGGGACCGUGGGGCUGGCGGCCUGCCUGCGUGAGGCAGCACGUGCCCCAGGGAGGACCCAGCCGGGGCGUGCGUCUGGCUGAGAAGGGGGAGCUGGCCUGGCACCAGUUCAGCAAGCAGCUGCUUGGGGCGGCCAAGGGGAAAGGGUGGCACAUCCGGAUCUUCGGCGGCGGGUGCCUCGGUCCCUCUCGGAGGGAAGGACCUGCCACCAAAGUGCUGCCGAAGAAGAAAGCGGCGCGGUGGAGCUGCCAUCAAAGUGCCGCCGAUCGCGAUCAUGGCUUUCCCCCCCCCCCCCCUGCCAUUUGGGGCGGCAAAAAUCCUGGAGCCAGCCCUGUUUCUGUCCCUGUCUGUUCAGGACAUCUUUCAGGAUCAGUAUGAUAAAGGCCUAACAGUGUCAUUGAGGAUCCCAGCAGACAGUGGGGCAGCCAGCCAUUAUGGUGACUCUUGCUUCCUCCAGUCCACCAGUCCCCUUCCUCCAAUUUCUACAGUCUUUCAGCUCAUUUUCAUGCCAGCCCAUAACUUUCCCAGGAGUCUUGCAGACCACUUAUCAUAGUUCUUUUAAUCAUGUAAUAAAUCCAGUUUGUGCCAGUCUA